rnacentral:rRNA from 1 species
UGGGGAAUAUUGGACAAUGGGCGAAAGCCUGAUCCAGCCAUGCCGCGUGUGUGAAGAAGGUCUUCGGAUUGUAAAGCACUUUAAGUUGGGAGGAAGGGCAGUAAGCGAAUACCUUGCUGUUUUGACGUUACCGACAGAAUAAGCACCGGCUAACUCUGUGCCAGCAGCCGCGGUAAUGCAGAGGGUGCAAGCGUUAAUCGGAAUUACUGGGCGUAAAGCGCGCGUAGGUGGUUCGUUACGUUGAAUUUGAAAGCCCCGGGCUCAACCUGGGAACUGCAUCCAAAACUGGCGAGCUAGAGUAGGGCAGAGGGUAGUGGAAUUUACUGUGUAGCGGUGAAAUGCGUAGAUAUAGGAAGGAACACCAGUGGCGAAGGCGACCACCUGGGCUCAUACUGACGCUGAGGUGCGAAAGCGUGGGGAGCAAACAGG